CCGGAGGACGCGUACCUCCUCCCGAAGCCUGUCCAUUGCCAGGAACAGCACAGGUUGAGCGCCGGAUGGAGCCCCAUGAUUCCCUGCGCCGCUGCCUCUGGACGCUUGAGCACCUCCCUGGCCGGCGCCCGAGUUACCUCCCCUGGGAACGGCACCACCCGAGCCCCGACCACCUUGGCCAUUGCCAGAGCCUCCCGCACCAGCGGCCGCAGAUCUACCUCCUCCUCCUGGGCCGCCGCGACCACGCUGACAGCGGCCAGGAGCCACACCACGGCCAGGCGGGCCAUGGCCCCGAUUUCUUCCCCGAUGUCCACCUGCCAUGAGCGCAGCGAGGUUUUCCAAUGACAGGUUCAGUUGCGGCACGGAGCGGCCCAACCCGAGGCGUGUGGCGAGUCGACCCCGAGUCUGGUCGGCCUGACCGAUUCCAAAAUUGAAUCCGCAGAGAUUUCGGAUCAGCGCAAUCACCACCCCUCUAACCAGAAGCUCCGCCGCUAGCCAUCUUCAAUGCCGGGAUGAGGAAAUCCCCCAAAGUCCUCGCCGGCGUGGUCCUCAGUGGAGGUAGCGGCCCUUUCCACAUCUUUUUCCAUGGUGGCUAAACCCUGCCAGGAGAGGGCAGUGAGGAUCCAUGCUCCUUCCUCCUCGCCUGAGAUGGAGGAGACGGCGCAGUAUCCUUGCCUGAAUGCGCCGCAGCGGGUGGCCGCGAAGCCGGAGAAGGAACCGAACGCCGGUGCGACUGAGCCAAGACGUCAGCAUCACCAAGGUGGCCGCGAAGCCGGAGAAGGAACCGAACGCCGGUGCGACUGAGCCAAGACGUCAGCAUCACCAAGGCCCUCACAAUCAGAAUCGGAGUCAGAAUCCCAAAACUUCCCUGUUCGUGCGCAAAGAGGCGCACUCGAACAGAGCAAAAUCUCCUCUCUAGCCAAGAGCAUCUUCUGCUUGUCGAACUCAAGAUCGAGUUGUCGCGAUGGUUCCUUCGCCGUGACUUGUCGCAGCGCCUUCCGAACCGACGGGGCAACCGGCAUCACCGCGGACACCUACGCUCGCCCCGGCGCCCUUCGGUUGAUCUUCGCCACUGCGCUCUCGACAGGGCCGCCGGUUCCAAGAUUGUCCCUAAACUUUCAAAUCGUGCAUAACUCUGGUAAGUGUUUCAUCGGAGGCCCCAAAAACGCCACGCAAGCGUUUGAAGACAACAUGACAUACCACGUGGCGCCAUGGUGGUAAAAAUUUACAAAAAUCCUCCCCAAUUUCAUGGCAUUAAAACACAUGGCACAUCAUCAGUUUUUGCUGAGUUGGCGAGGUAAUUAAGAGGAGAGAGAGGUGAGAAGCGUUUCAUGGUGAUGAAACAAUGUUGGCCCGAUUACCAAGCCACAUGAAACCGAACGAAACUCCCACCGAGACCCUCUUCGUUUCAUCGCCGGAUCUCCUACUCCGGCUGCGUGCGCUCGCGCCGUCUCCACCUCCGACCAGUCCACGCCAAAUCCCACCCUCCCCGCUUCCAAAUCGCCGGGCAAAUCACGCCCUACCCGCUCCCCUUGCUCACAGAUCCCCUUUCCUUGCUGCAAGUGCUCGCCGACUGGCCAAGUUCAGCAACGGUCGUCCCUCACCUCGAGCUUGGCGUAGGGGAUAUGUCUUUCCAUUGCCAAGGCAAACGACCUUCCCUGCUCGGACAUGGCUCGGCAAAGCGUGGCGCCGCCACUUAUUCUCCGACGGCUCCAACACUGGCGGCGGCAGAGCCACCGCAGCCCACCUCCCAACUGGUCCAUGGUGGCCUGGAUGUGGAGUUAGCAGCGCCAACUCGUCAUCCCCACAUGAAAACCAUCCCUCAAAUCCAUGCUUCAAUGUUUGGCACUUCGGAGCAUCAAGUGGUUUGUGUUUUUAGGGAACAAAAUGGCAAGAAAAAUGAAGAUGGAAGGCUUGAGGAGAUGGACAAAAUUCUGAAUGCCAUUUGGUCCAUAUCCAAAUGUGAAACAGACUUUAGCUAUUUAGUUCAAUACUUCGUAUCAAUGCGAAAUUGAUCCAUAUCCAAAUGUCAAACUGCUCUGAACCUUGGUAGUGCAUCUUGUCAGACACGUUAAACUGCUCCACUUAUGAAUUGUGAGUUGCCUGACAUGGUGAUAGUUUUA